rnacentral:rRNA from 1 species
AGCAGUCGCCACGGUAAUACGAGGGGGGCAAGCGUUGUUCGGAAUGACUGGGCGUAAAGGGCGCGUAGGCGGCGAUCAAAGUCAGGCGUGAAAUUCCUGGGCUCAACCUGGGGGCUGCGUUUGAUACUUGAUUGCUAGAGUGGGGAAGAGGGUCGUGGAAUUCCCAGUGUAGAGGUGAAAUUCGUAGAUAUUGGGAAGAACACCGGUGGCGAAGGCGGCGACCUGGUCCUUGACUGACGCUGAGGCGCGAAAGCGUGGGGAGCAAACAGGAUUAGAUACCCCCGUAGUCCCUGUCUCUUAUAC